AGAAAAUGUUUUCAGACUGCUCAUUUCUAUGUGGAAGACAGCAGUUCACCUCGAGUGGUCCCUAAUGAAAGUAUUCCUAUUAUUCCUAUUCCGGAUGACAUGGAAGCCAUUCCUGUCAAACAGUUUGUCAAACACAUCAGUGAGCUCUAUUCUAAUAACCAGCAUGGGUUCUCUGAGGAUUUUGAGGAAGUCCAGCGCUGUACUGCUGAUAUGAACAUCACUGCAGAACAUUCCAAUCAUCCAGAAAACAAGCACAAAAACAGAUACAUCAACAUUUUAGCAUGUGAGUAAUAAGCUUUAAACUAUCUUCAACUGCGAGGAAAUUAAAUUUCCAUGCUAGGUAUAAACUGAAAGCCAAGCAAUCAGAAGCAGGAUACCAAGAAAGAAUGAUUCUUGCAAGCUAACCUCUCAUUAGCCCAUCUUCAACAGUGUAGAAGUUGGGACAUUUUCUUCCCCCUUAGCCUUUCAUUAGGCUGUCAGAGCUCAGAGAGCUUAAUAAGGUGACUGAAAGAAAAUGUUUGGAGCUUCACUAUUUUCACAUGAAGUGAUGUCAUAUCACAUGUUGGGAGCCAAAAUUUGAAUGUCACUUAGUUAUAUUGACAUUGUUUUUAACCGGUAAGGGCCAAAUCUUUUAAUACAAAUGAAAAUACUGGGAAUUGAAUCAAGCAAGCUGAAUUUCAAAGCAUUCUUUCAAAGACUACAUAAUUGGCUUGUACCUUAAAUGAUAAGCCUCCAGGUCUUUUGGUCCAUGUGGUUACUCCUAUCUAUCACAUUUCCAUGGUCAGGAAUAUUCUGUAGGUUAGGGACUCAAACAAAUGGACAUUCUUCAUACACAGCCUCUUCAUACAGAGCCUCAAGGAAUACCCUAG
rnacentral:sRNA from 1 species